GCCGGAGGAGAGCCGCGUCUAAGUUGGGCCGGCCCCUAGGGGCUGUCGCCUUCCUGCUCCUCGCUCUCAGUCCCUUGGCCUGCGUGGUCGUGGUCAGGCCCGCUGCCACUGCUGCCCCUGCUUCUGUGCUGCCUGGGCAACAGGCUCUUCCACUGGGCCUUGUUGUGUGCGAGGUGGCCCAGCAUGUUCUCCGACAGGGUGCUGUUACCCGUGAAAUGGGCCCAUUCCCGGAAGAGCGGCUCCACGAUGUAGCUCAUGAAACCUAGAACAGCACUUCUCCUUCCUGUCACCAUGUGAAGAAGGACGUGUUUGCUUCCCCUUCUGCUAUGAUUGUAAGCUUCCUGAGGCCUCCCCAGCCCUGCAGAACUGUCAGUAUGAAAUAUAACUUAGAAUGAGUCAGACAUGUGUCUGUCUUUUGUAAAGUGGAAACAGGGUGACUGUGAAAGUUAAGUGGAAAAGUGGAACUGGCUUCACUGCCCCGCAAGCACAUUCCAGGACAAACUUGCCAAAUACUGCAAGAAAAGAUGUUGCUGAUCACGGAUAGGAAAUACUCCAAGUCCCAGGAGAUAGUCUGUUCUUAGGAGACUUCCACACCAAGUCUGCUGACCAGAGAAGGACCAGUCAACCACCACACUCUCCGCUGGAGCCCACUCAGCACCAGGAAGUAUUUGGGAGUUCUUCAUUCCAGACAUCUGUGCCAACAUGGCACUUGGGAUUCUUUUAAACUCCAAGUGUUGUUCAUUUUUUGUUUGUUUUUCAGGAAGGAAACAGAUGGAAAAACCUAGACUUGGUAGGGAAGUGAUUGAAUUGAUUAUAUUAUACCC
rnacentral:lncRNA from 1 species